GUAGGGUGCGAGCGUUAAUCGGAAUUACUGGGCGUAAAGCGUGCGCAGGCGGUUGUGCAAGACAGAUGUGAAAUCCCCGGGCUUAACCUGGGAACUGCAUUUGUGACUGCACGGCUAGAGUGCGGCAGAGGGGAGUGGAAUUCCGCGUGUAGCAGUGAAAUGCGUAGAUAUGCGGAGGAACACCGAUGGCGAAGGCAGCUCCCUGGGCCUGCACUGACGCUCAUGCACGAAAGCGUGGGGAGCAAACAGGAUUAGAUACCCUGGUAGUCCACGCCCUAAACGAUGUCAACUGGUUGUUGGUCCUUCACUGGAUCAGUAACGUAGCUAACGCGUGAAGUUGACCGCCUGGGGAGUACGGCCGCAAGGUUG
rnacentral:rRNA from 1 species